rnacentral:lncRNA from 1 species
GAGUGAAUUGACCUUGCUGCCUCACUUCCGGGGUGUGCCCUGGCUCAGGCUCCUCUUCCGGUCAGGUCCGGGAUUCGCACCGACCCCACCCGACCACGUGGUGACAGCCACACUGGUGCGGGCCGCAGGCCUGGCCAGGGCCUCCCCUGGCAGGAAGGCGAUGGGCCCAGAGCCCUGGCCUCUCCUCCCCGCCCACCCUCGCCCCCUCUCUCAGCCAUGAGCAGGCACAGGGCCAGCUGCUCAGGUUUGCAAGGGAACCAGAGAAACUGGUUCUCGCCCUCAGGACUUCCUCAAGAGACCAAAAAAAAGGAAGCUAUAGUAUAAAGUUGCUGCCUCCAAAGAUGGAACAGAAGAGAAACUGGUCAUUGAAAAGACUAGCAAGAAAAGCAAAGUAUUUCAGAAGAGGACACUGGAAAAGUUGGCCUGAGGACAUCAUAAGAAAUGGAGGCCUCCAGCCUUUGCAGCCUCCAAGUUGCAAAGGUGAAAAAGACUUUGCUUUGAGAAGAGAGCCCCAGAGCACUAUGUUC